UAAAUAUAUAAAAAAAUAAAAAAAUUAAUUAUUUUAAAAAUAAAAAAUAAAAAAAAAUAUUUUUCUUUAAAAAUUAAAAAAAAAUAAUAAUUUUACAUUUUUUCUUUUUUUUUCCUUUCUUUCUUUUUUUUUCUUUUUCUUUCUUUUGCAAACACCCUCUUCUUCUUCUUAUCUUUCUCUCUCUCGCAGGUAGGCAGCCAUGGAAGACCACCAUCAUCUGCCAUCUCUAAUCUCUCUUGAUCCCCAUCUCUCUCUCUCUCAGCCAUCUCUGUCGAUACCCCUCUCUCUCUCUCUCUCAGCCAUCUUCUCUUUCUCAAUCCCCCCCUCUCUCUCUCUCUCUCCCGAUAAUACCCAAGGACCAUGUCGCCGUCGUCACCGUCGUCGAGGACCACGGACCCAGGUGCCGUCGCCGUCGUCGAGGACCACCACGCCAGGUUGUGAUGGUAGUUUCGGUAGUGGUGGGCGGUGGUGUUUACGAUGGUUAUGGAUGGUGGUGGUUUACGGUGGCUACGGUGGCUACGGAUGAUGGUGGUUUCGGUUGUGUUGGUGGUGGUGUUUACAGUGGCUUUGGAGGGAAGUGGUGGAUAGAUAGAGAGAGAGAGCUGAGAUGAAGAAGAAGAGGGUAUUUGCAAAAGAAAGAAAAAGAAAAAAAAAGAAAGAAAGGAAAAAAAAAAAUGUAAAAUUAAAAAUGUUUUUUUUUUUAAUUUUUAAAGAAAAAUAUUUUUUUUUAUUUUUUAUUUUUAAAAUAAUUAAUUUUUUAUUUUUUUAUAUA